rfam:Dipodomys ordii contig_30420, whole genome shotgun sequence.
GGGAAUGGGGCUUAGUGGUAAAGUGCUUGCCUAGUAUGCAUGAAGCCCUGGGUUCAAUUCCUCAGUACCA